AAGUCAAAAACUAAGCUUCUCCAUCAACUUGACACCAAAUGUCAACGCUUCUUGGCAUGAUACGCAGUUUCGACGGGAGACAGACAACAUACUACUAGAGGGGAAGGGAGAGAGGGGGUUCGCCUCCUCCGCUGCGUCAAACUCAGCUAGCGCGACGAUUGUUCGAUCGGCACGAAGGCGUACUCGGCGGCGCCACCUCCGCCUCCGCCGAUGCGAGGCCCCAGUUCUGUCUUGGCUAGUCUUCAGCGCGCUCUAGGAUGGGGCGGACGCGUCCAUCGCCGGGUAGCACGGUGGUUGCGCUACUGGUGCUAUAGUGUGGACCAGCCAACACAUGCAAUGCAUGCACGCAUGCGAAGAAGCGAAGGAUUAAGUGAUCGAUGGAGACACGGAGUGAUCGUAAUCCGGCUGUCCGGCAACUAGUUAGUUGUUGAUCGAUCUCUCAGGGGAAACGAUGCAGUUGUUGUCGUUGCUUCUGAGCAAAUCAAGCGCGGCCGGCCGGUGUGGUGAUCGUGCAUUCAGUCCCUCAACCGUCAGUACUGCGACGGUUCUUCAAAGGAAAACGAGAAUCAAUACUGCAACGACUAAAAUGAAUGUUGCACUUGUACGCGCGUACUCGAUUUGUCUGUAUGCUUGCUACCUCCGUCCAAGGGCGUAUUAGCUUUCCUUUGAUCAAUGUUUUGACCACAAAUUACUCUAUUAAUAUAUAAUUAUAUAACAUAGAUUCAUAUUCA